UAUUAGUGUGUGCACGUCACACCUGUGCAGGUGUAUGUCACACCUGUGCAAGUGUAUUAGUGCGUGCACGUCACACCUGUGCAGGUGUAUACUUCCAAAAGCGAUGCAGCGCACAAAUGAAACCUUCACUUUCUACUGAGAGCUUCGAUGACGACACAAAAGCCCUGUGAUGAGGUGGCGACUUGUCCAGGGUGUACGCCGCCUUCCGCCCGAAUGCAGCUGAGAUAGGCUCCAGCAUCCCCCACGCCCCAAAAAGGGACAAGCGGAGGACAUAUUUGCUGGAUAAGAAGUGCAGAGAGCAGAAAGUCACAUGCCGGAAUGUUCUUCCCACAUCAACAUAUCGCCGUAUAAAUAGAGAUCUUCUCAAUGAUGUAAGCGGCGUUGAUAUGGUCGCCCACCUGAGGCCAACCUCCACAAAUAUUGACCACGUUCUCAGCCGUCUUGGAGCUCUGCACGACAUCUUCUUCUGUCGGUGUGCAGAGACUCCAGCUGCAAGGCCAGGGAUUGAGGGAAUUGUCCGUAAAGUUAGUCAUCAACACACCACAUUAUGUUGGUAGACAAAGAUUGUCUAUUUGACAGGAGAGCCCUGCAGCGUUUUUUUAUAAUUGACCACAAUCUGUAAGUCACUGGUCAAAGAUCCUAUGUGGCAGGAGCGCUUUGCUGUUUUGCAGGGCCGAUGGAAGAAAAGCAUGAGUCAAAGAUUGUCUAUAUGUGACAGAAGUGUUUUAUUGUGUUUAAUGAUUUGCUUUAAAAACAGUAGUCAAAGAUUGUCUAUUUGUGA